AUAUUAAUCUAAACGAAAGCUUAUAUACAGUGAUUUUAAUGGAUAA
rnacentral:guide_RNA from 1 species